UUAAAAAAAAAACUGAAAAACCGAACCGACCACAGGAAAAAACCGAACGCAAAUUGAUUUUUACACAAUCCCUAAUCUAACACAUUCUUGUCUUCUUGAUUCUUCUCAUCUUCUGAUCUUCACAAACCUUCACCGCUGGAAUCUCGUCCCCGCUGCUGCUGCUGCUGCUGCUCAUCCUUCACGAACCUUCACCGCUGGAAUCUCGUCCCCGCUGCUGCUGCUGCUGCUGCUCAUCCUUCACGAACCUUCACCGCUGGAAUCUCGUCCCCGCUGCUGCUGCUGCUCAUCCUUCACGAAUCUGAUUUGCCACCGCUGUUCAUCGCCGACUCUCGUCCCCGCUGCCACUGUCACCUACCGUUGUCACCUACUAUCAACUGUUGCUGCUUUCACGGUGCUCCCCUACUGCCAUCUGACUGCUGUUGUGACUCACAACUUGUGAGCUGCUGCUGGCAACUUGAGCUGCUUGAGCUUGAGCUGUUUUUGCAGAGAACUUGAGCCGCUGCUGCCUGCUGGCGUGAAAAGGUAAUCAGCUCCCUUUGUUUUUGCAGAGAAUUCGUACUGGGUUAAGGUUUGACUUGGUAAAUGGUAUAAUAUAAUCUGUGCUUAACUACUUUAUUUUGUACUUUAUUUUGUUAACCCGUCAUUAAGAAUUAACGGGCAAAACAAGGAUUUUGCGGUUUUUGGAUUUAGAAUAAAAUGGACAGAAGUUGCUUAAUAUUUCUUCUUUAAUCUUUUAUUGAUUAGUUAUUGCAAAGAAUAAAUUUUU
rnacentral:lncRNA from 1 species